AUCUUUUUGUAGUUCAUGAGCAUGAAGAUUGGGUGUUCAUGCACAUGUGUGAGAUGUGCCACCCUUGAACCUUGUUAUGACAUUGGCAUCUUACCCCUCUGGCC
rnacentral:snoRNA from 2 species